AUACGUAGGGGGCGAGCGUUGUCCGGAAUGAUUGGGCGUAAAGGGCGCGUAGGCGGCCCGGUAAGUCUGGAGUGAAAGUCCUGUUUUUAAGAUGGGAAUUGCUUUGGAUACUGUCGGGCUUGAGUGCAGGAGAGGUAAGUGGAAUUCCCAGUGUAGCGGUGAAAUGCGUAGAGAUUGGGAGGAACACCAGUGGCGAAGGCGACUUACUGGACGGUAACUGACGCUGAGGCGCGAAAGUGUGGGGAGCAAACAGGAUUAGAUACCCUGGUAGUCCACGCCGUAAACGAUGAAUACUGGGUGUAGGGGGUAUCGACUCCCUCUGUGCCGCAGUUAACACAAUAAGUAUUCCGCCUGGGGAGUACGGCCGCAAGGUUGAAACUCAAAUGAAUUGACGGGG
rnacentral:rRNA from 1 species